GACAGCAGCAGCCACGGGAAUACAGAGGGUGCGAGCGUUAAUCGGAUUUACUGGGCGUAAAGCGUGCGUAGGCGGCUUCUUAAGUCGGAUGUGAAAUCCCUGAGCUUAACUUAGGAAUUGCAUUCGAUACUGGGAAGCUAGAGUAUGGGAGAGGAUGGUAGAAUUCCAGGUGUAGCGGUGAAAUGCGUAGAGAUCUGGAGGAAUACCGAUGGCGAAGGCAGCCAUCUGGCCUAAUACUGACGCUGAGGUACGAAAGCAUGGGGAGCAAACAGGAUUAGAUACCCGCGUAGUCCCUGUCUCUUAUAC
rnacentral:rRNA from 1 species